AAAUGGAAAACAAAAAAAGGCAGGGGUUGCAAUCCUAGUCUCUGAUAAAACAGACUUUAAACCAACAAACAUCAAGAGAGACAAAGAAGGCCAUUACAUAAUGGUAAAGGGAUCAAUUCAACAAGAAGAGCUAACCAUCCUAAAUAUAUAUGCACCCAAUACAGGAGCACCCAGAUUCAUAAAGCAAGUCCUUAGAUACUUACAAAGAGACUUAGACUCCCACACAAUAAUAAUGGAAGACUUUAACACCCCACUGUCAACAUUAGACAGAUCAAUGAGACAGAAAGUUAAAAAGGAUAUCCAGGAAAAUCCCUUGAUCUUAAGUGCAACAUCCACAAGCAUGUAGCUAACACCAGAUAGGACAGGAUAGGCAUCCAAAGACAGAACCAAGAUAAGACAAAAAAGUGCAAGAGCCAGUGUUUGGGGACAGGGUCAAGUUUAUUUUUACCUUUUUUUUUUUUUUAAUUAACUGAGAAUCAACAAAAUCAGUGAGUGUUCACACAGCAUAAUUCUGUCCGGGAAAGAGGAGUUGACACAGCAUUCCUCUGUAAACUGGAGAAUUUCUCCAUGACUCCUAUCUGCUCCCCAGUUUCUCUUCUCCAUGAGGAAUAAACACCAUGUACAAUCUGAAAGCUGGUAAGGGACUGAUCCUUGAAGUGUCAUCCUGAAUUUGAAUUAAACCUAAGUCUAGUUUCCUUUUGAGAUCUCCUGAUGAGUUAAACCUUUACACAAGAGCUACCUAGUCGGAUGAUUUUUUUCUCACCUGAGCUAUUGUGGAUAAUUGCUCUGCUUCCUUGUUCAACAAAAUAUAAGGUAAAUCAUUACCACUCACAACCCGAAGAGAUUUAUGCCAUCGUCUAACAGAAGAGCACAGUGUGCACGUUUCUUUUCUAAGAAAAUUAAGUUGACCUCAAUGCAGUGGAGUUUGAUUUUCAUAAUUAUAAGUCAUAACUCACAAUUCAAAUUUUUUUGAAUCAGCAUUUUUGCCCUAGGAGAAAUUUUGGAUUCAGGUAUAUAGUAUACGUUACGUUUUUAAUUAAAGAAAGAAGGAAAUAUGUAUAUAUGUUGGAAUAUAUAUAUAUAGCAACAUAUAUGUUACUUUUUUAAUUAAAGAAAGAAGGAAAUA
rnacentral:lncRNA from 1 species